rnacentral:rRNA from 1 species
UCUUCGGGAUAGGUAGUAGUUAAGGUGAUGGCUUAACUAGCUUAAAAUUCUCGUAGUCGAAGCUGAAAGGUUGAUCGACCACAUUGGGUCUGAAAAAACCCCAAUGCAAGUUAGUACAGCAGUGAGGAAUCUUGGUCAAUGGCCUAACGGCUGAACUGGCAACUUGGAGAAGUGGCAAGUCUUAUUUUUGAUUAUAAUUUUAGAUAAUCUAUAAGAUUGUAUUAAAAUUGAAUAAAACUUUGUUUAUAUAUUGAUAAUGACAAUAUAUAUAUCGUGUCUUGACUAAUUACGUGCCAGCAGUCGCGGUAAUACGUAAGAGACUAGUGUUAUUCAUCUUAAUUAGGUUUAAAGGGUCCCUAGACGGUCAAUAUAGCUUCUAGAAUGUUAGUACUUGACUAGAGUUUGAUGUAAGGGGGCAGUACUUGAGGAGGAGAGAUGAAAUUCUAUUAUACCAAAGGGACUCGGUAAAGGCGAAGGCAGCCCUUUAUGUAAAAACUGACGUUGAAGGACGAAGGCACAGAGCACAAACAGGAUUAGAUACCCAAGUAGUCUUUGCAGUAAAUGAUGAAUGCCAUAGGUUAGAUUAA